GCUGCCUUCCUUCCCCCAGGG
rnacentral:miRNA from 1 species